CCUACGGGGGGCAGCAGUGGGGAAUAUUGGGCAAUGGGCGCAAGCCUGACCCAGCAACGCCGCGUGAAGGAAGAAGGCUUUCGGGUUGUAAACUUCUUUUAAGAGGGAAGAGCAGAAGACGGUACCUCUUGAAUAAGCCACGGCUAACUACGUGCCAGCAGCCGCGGUAAUACGUAGGGAGCGAGCGUUAUCCGGAAUUAUUGGGCGUAAAGGGUGCGUAGAUGGCAUAGUAAGUCUUUUGUAAAAAUGCUGGGCUCAACCCAGUAGGGCAAAAGAUACUGCAAAGCUAGAGUAUGACAGAGGCAAGUGGAACUACAUGUGUAGCGGUCAAAUGCGUAAAUAUAUGUAAGAACACCAGUGGCGAAGGCGGCUUGCUGGGUCGAUACUGACAUUGAGGCACGAAAGCGUGGGGAGCAAACAGGAUUAGAUACCCUUGUAGUC
rnacentral:rRNA from 1 species